UUUAUAUUUAGUAUCAUAUUUCAGAAGAUGAAAUUGUUUACUUGUUCAUGUUAAAUUCAGAUUACCUUCAUAACUGGUGAUGUCAUAAACACUGUUUUCAUUUUCUGUACUAUUAAUGGUGCAUUGAUAUGAUAUUUAGUUUCAUACUUGGCUGUUAAAUUAUUCACAUGGUCAUGUUAAAAUGCAACGAAUUUUAUCUCCAUAAGUACUGAUGUGAUAUUUGCAUAAUCAUUAUCAUAAAAAGUAUAUUUAAUUU
rnacentral:lncRNA from 1 species